UGACGACCAUAGCAAGGUGGUCCCACUCCUUCCCAUCCCGAACAGGACCGUGAAACGCCUUUGCGCCGAUGAUAGUGGACGUACGUCUGUGAAAGUAGGUCAUCGUCAGGCU
rnacentral:rRNA from 1 species